ensembl:miRNA
UGCUUUGGAUUAGGCUUUGGCUUAAGAGAAUGUUGUGGCUGGUUUAAUCUUCUAUCCAGACCACUACAACUUUCUCCAUAUCAGC